rnacentral:lncRNA from 1 species
GCUGAGGCAGCCUGAAGUCACCGUCCACCUGGAGAGCUGGGUCAGAAGAUGGAGGCAGAGACAAAUAUCCCGUGUCUCUGUUUAGCCUUAUUUCAGAAGGGUGUGCGGCUUCUCUGGGACAGAAGAGAACCCAAAUUGAGCUCUACUGUUAACUAGCUGUGGGAUCCUGGAGGAGUCGUUUACCCUGAUUCUCAGCUUCCACGUCUGUUGAAGGGGAGAUACUCAUGAAGAGGACAGGAUGGCUAGCAUGCCGUUGUUCUGCUGAGUGAGUUAUUUCAGCCAUCUCAACAUCUAAUGCUGAUGUGAUGUGGACAUUCCUGGUAACUAGCAGAUAGCAGGCGCUCAACAAACAUGAGUUCUUCCCUCCCUCCCCUCUGUUCUCAACAAAGCAGCUAGCGCUGGAUGGUCAACCGCGUCCCUUUGUUCUUCCCCCUGCCCUUCAUUGCCAGGAUGAGAGUGAAGGGACAAAGCAGAAAGCACUUAGCCAAUACUAGAAUGUGGUCAGGACAUAGACCGUAUUUGGAUGUCGACAAUGGUGCUCUGUAUGAAGAUGUGGCUUGUGGCCCCAACUAUGCCAAGAGCAUACUUCCUUUCUCUAGCUGGGUAGCAAUCUCCCCUCUGUCCCAAGGAUGAAGUUUAAUCCUGAUGAGAUCUGAAGCUUCUUCCAGUUGUGGAAAUUAAUAAAAGAAACCUUAACUAAUUUGGAGUUGGGAAGGCCCAUAGGGGAGCUCUCAUGCCCUAUCACACACUGUCAUUUACACCAAAAAGGAGAAGACUGAUGCUUGCUUCUUGGACAGGAAGUAAAACUACUGAAGGAAGAUUUCUCUUCCCACCUGCAACAGCUCAGCCAAUGAGAAAAACCACAGCUCAGCCAAUGAACUGCUACUUUCCCCCAAUGAAUUUUCAUUUGAAACGGCCCCUCCCUACUCCCCCUUUUUCUCUAUAAAAGCAGCUCCCCUUCUUUCUUUUCCAGAUUUGACUAUGGUUUGCCAUAGCAUGUACAUCCCGAAUUGCAAUUCUUUUGGUUAUUCCUG